rnacentral:sRNA from 1 species
UAUUAUAAAACAAUAAUAAAUAAUUAUAAUUAUUAAUAAUUAUUAAUUCAUUAUCAUCAAACUUAGAAUAUUUACGGAUUCUAAUUUUUAUAGGUUUAUGUUUUCGGCGGGAAAAUUAUGGGUUUACGUUUUUGGCGGGAAAAUCACGGGUUUACGUUUUUGACGGGAAAAUUACAGGUUUAUGUUUUUGGCGGGAAAAUCACGGGUUUACGUUUUUGGCGGGAAAAUUACCGGGCUUACGUUUUUGGCGGGAAAAUCACGGGUUUACGUUUUUGGCGGGAAAAUUACAGGUUUACGUUUUGGCGGGAAAAUCACGGGUUUACGUUUUUGGCGGGAAAAUUACAGGUUUACGUUUUGGCGGGAAAAUCACGGGUUUACGUUUUUUUGCGGAAAAAUUACGGGUUUACGUUUCUGCAGAAAAAUCACGGGUUUACGUUUUUGGCGGGAAAAUUACCGGGCUUACGUUUUUGGCGGGAAAAUCACGGGUUUACGUUUUUGGCGGGAAAAUUACAGGUUUAUGUUUUGGCGGGAAAAUCACGGGUUUACGUUUUUUUGCGGAAAAAUUACGGGUUUACGUUUCUGCAGAAAAAUCACGGGUUUACUUUUUUGGCGGGAAAAUUACAGGUUUACGUUUUGGCGGGAAAAUCAUGGGUUUAUGUUUUUGGCGGGAAAAUCACGGGUUUACGUUUUUGGCGGGAAAAUUACAGAUUUACGUUUUUGGCGAGAAAAUCACGGGUUUACGUUUUUUUGGCCGGAAAAUUACGUGUUUACGUUUCUGCGAGAAAAUCACGGGUUUACGUUUUUUGGUGGGAAAAUUACGGAUUUACGUUUUGGCGGAAAAAUCAUGGGUUUAUGUUUUUUGCGGGAAAAUUACGGGUUUACGUUUUUGGCGGAAAAAUUACGGGUUUACGUUUUUGGCGGGAAUAUCACGGGUUUACGUUUUUGGCGGAAAAAUCAUGGGUUUACGUUUUUGGCGGGAAAAUUACGGGUUUAUGUUUUUUGGUGGAAAAAUUACGAGUAUACUUUUUCUCAAUUUCAUCGCUUGUAUAUUUAAGAAAUUUGGAAAAAAAUGAUUUUAUUAAAUUGGUUUAGAUGUGUUGGUUAAACUUAGAUUGACAUUGGUUUAAAGAUUUUAGUUGGUUUAAUUCAAUUUAUAAAACUUGAUGGGUUAAUUGGGUAAACCAUUAACCAUUAUAACCCAACUCAUUUUACUCAUUAAACCAAUUGACUUAAUAACUCAUUUGACCCAUAAACUCAUUGGAGUCAAAAUUUUCAACUCAUUAGGGUUAUGGGUUGAGUUGAGUUGAGUUGAUCCAUGAAUUUUGAGCUAUUUUGACAACCAUGAGUUGAUGCUAUCAUUUUGCAUUCUCCGUUUCAAAUGAAACGACAAUAGCAAACUGAAUUCGAUACUACAACAUUAUUUUCGUGAUGCAAUGUUAAAGAAUUUAGAUGAAUACACUUGUGAAGAUGACAUUUUCAGUUUGAAGUA